ACAAUCUACCUUGAAUAUUUUUUAACAAUGUUGAUAAAUAAAAAUAAUAUUGUGAAUGAAGUCUAAAAAUAUCAGACCGACAAGUAGUUCUAAGAAUACCGUUAAACAUAGGAUUAUAAAUUGCUUGUAUAUAAUGAAUAAAUGCAUCAGAAGAAGGAAAACUAAAAGGCAAACAACUCACAGCUACCAUUUUAGCUAUUUCUUCCCGGUCCCUCAAUUUAUUAUACUUCUUCACUACGUGACCGGUUGCUGGGUCCAUUCUAGUUUGCGUUGGGCCACCAACAUCCCCA
rnacentral:lncRNA from 1 species